rnacentral:lncRNA from 1 species
AGCAGGGCUUCGAGACAUAAUGUUCCAUGAUUUCUAUACAGAGAUCUUAUGGAAUGGAUUGAUUUAGAUAUUUUCCUGAUCUCCAUGUUACUACUGUAAACGUUUUAGUUUUGUUGUUUUCGCAAACCCUUUGUUAUUAUUAUGAUCAAGUGUUUGUUGUGACAUGGUAUUUCUAUUUGGGCUUGCAUAAGAGCUACAGGUGUAGGACUUUUAAGGGUCGUGUCCUUAUUCUCAACAUAACGCUGGGAUUUGAUGAUGAGGGUUAGUUACCAAGGGUAUAAAUCUGGCAAAGUGCAUGUCAAACAAAACGUGGCAUUCAAUUCCAAUCAUGUGUUGCCACCUGAACCACCUGAAAGUGAGAUAUGGAUUACAAUGAAUAAUGACAGCUUAUCAAUCUUUAACAAAUUCACACUGAAACAUUGAAAGGAUAAAGACAAGUUAGUUGUUUUCUGUUUCAGCAUGUUCAGGGUUUGUGGGGAGGUUCACAGACAUCCUCAGGGAGGAUACCAAGUAUUGAAAUGUCUGGAUGAAUAAAAGAGACAGUCAUCUGUGCAGCAUCAAUGCAAAGAAAGACCAUAGAAGAGCAACAAAACUGAAGUCCUGCUUGAGAUCCCUGGAUGAGUACUCCAGGUUGACAGUCUGGAAGGAUCAGACAAGGGAGUCCUAAACAGAGGCUGCAGCCCUUCAGAUAUCAGAGGUGAUUUGCAGACAGCGAUGGAGGCCGACCAAGAAGUUGUAUGCCAAAUGGUACUGGGACACACAAAGGCUGGUCUGGCUAAUGUGAGAAGACCAACCAAUGCCAAGCUGGAGUGGAAUUCUUCCAGGACAUUCAGGAAAUUCUUGUCUUGAGCCAUAUGGUAAACACUUGAAAGGAAUGAUAAAUGGGACUUAUUGUCUUUAAAUGUGGACCCAAACACCAAAUGGAAAGUUCACAAUUCUACUAACACAAUGCAGCAGAGAUAGAGUCUAAAUGGUAUCCUCUCAUUCUGGUUCCUGUUCAUCCAUGGCAAUAUAGAAAGAAAAGGAGGAUUGAGGGAAAGUAAGUUCUCUGAACUGGUGAACAUAAUCCGUAGGUACUGUCAAGCGAACAGUUAUCACACUCUGUUAUGAGUAUUGAAGAAUAGGAUGAAAUUGCAUACUGCAUCAGGAACCAUCAUGUGAACACUGUUCAAUGUGCGAUAUACUAUAGGCAUAUGAAUAAAAGAAA